UGUGGAACUUUAAAAUCACGACCACCCUUAUAAUUACAUUCACCCCACCGGGCACAUCCACACUAACACCCUUGGUCGACAUUUUUCGGUUGGGGCGACCUUGGAGAAAAACAAAACCUCCAAACUUACAGACCACACCUCUUAACCAAGAUCCACCCAUCAAAGUCCUAACAGUAACUAGACCCAAUAUAAUUGAUUAAUGGACCAAGCUACCCCA
rnacentral:rRNA from 1 species